UACGGGGGGGGGCAAGCGUUGUUCGGAAUUACUGGGCGUAAAGGGCGCGUAGGCGGCCCGCUAAGUCGAACGUGAAAUCCCCGGGCUCAACCCGGGAACUGCGUCCGAUACUGGAGGGCUCGAAUCCGGGAGAGGGAUGUGGAAUUCCAGGUGUAGCGGUGAAAUGCGUAGAUAUCUGGAGGAACACCGGUGGCGAAGGCGGCGUCCUGGACCAACACUGACACUGAGGAGCGAAAGCCAGGGGAGCAAACGGG
rnacentral:rRNA from 1 species